rnacentral:rRNA from 1 species
UACAGAGGUCUCAAGCGUUGUUCGGAUUCAUUGGGCGUAAAGGGUGUGUAGGUGGCGCGCUAAGUCGGGUGUGAAAUUUCGGAGCUUAACUCCGAAACUGCAUUCGAUACUGGCGUGCUUGAGGACUGGAGAGGAGACUGGAAUUCAUGGUGUAGCAGUGAAAUGCGUAGAGAUCAUGAGGAAGACCAGUGGCGAAGGCGGGUCUCUGGACAGUUCCUGACGCUGAGGCACGAAGGCCAGGUGAGCAAACGGG